rnacentral:rRNA from 1 species
CACGUAGGGCGCAAGCGUUGUCCGGAAUUAUUGGGCGUAAAGAGCUCGUAGGUGGUUUGCUGCGUCCGCUGUGAAAACCCAAGGCUUAACCUUGGGCUUGCAGUGGAUACGGGCAGACUGGAGGUAGGUAGGGGAGAAUGGAAUUCCCGGUGUAGCGGUGAAAUGCGCAGAUAUCGGGAGGAACACCGGUGGCGAAGGCGGUUCUCUGGGCCUUACCUGACACUGAGGAGCGAAAGCGUGGGGAGCGAACAGG